rnacentral:rRNA from 1 species
UAGUUCGUGGAGUGAUCUGUCUGCUUAAUUGCGUUUCAAAAUUUAACUUGAGGACCGGGUUUUGGUUUGGCUAGUGGUUCUACGAUGACUGUGAACUGUCAUGUCUUCGGAUGUGCGACUAUUGGUCUAGGAUCACAUGACUUGCCCCUGGGACUCUUUUGAACGCAACGGACGUGAUUGCAACCCCUUGUUGAGAUUAGAGAUAGUCUCGAUAUUCACUGGACAAACUGGCUGCUUUAUGCAGUCUUGUUGAAUGGUGGAUAAACUCGGGGGACUGCUGACUAUAACCAUUUCUCAAAACAGAGGAAGGUUGCGGCAAUAACAGGUCUGUGAUGCCCUCAGAUGUCCCGGGCUGCACACGUGCUACAAUGAGUGGCGCAAUGUGCUAAUGUUUAAGGGAUAAGAGUGUGGUCAGUAGAACGUCGGGAUUUCCCCUGACGUCUCCCCCGCACGAUUAUCAGCCUUCCCUUAACAGGGCGGGCAACCUUUUCAAAAUACUGGUUUGAUGUUAAAGUAUUGAGUCGUUUUUUUUGGAUGGUGGU